rnacentral:rRNA from 1 species
GAUGAACGCUGGCGGCGUGCUUAACACAUGCAAGUCGAACGGAAAGGCCCAAGCUUGCUUGGGUACUCGAGUGGCGAACGGGUGAGUAACACGUGGGUGACCUGCCCUGCACUUCGGGAGAAGCCUGGGAAACUGGGUCUAAUACCGGAUAGGACCACAUCUUGGAUGGUGUGGUGGAAAGUUUUUCGGCGUGGGGUGAGCUCGCGGCCUAUCAGCUUGUUGGUGGGGUGAUGGCCUACCAAGGCGUGGACGGGAAGCCGGCCUGUGGUGGUGAACGGCCACAUUGGGACUGAGAGGCGGCCCAGGUGCCGAAGGGAGGAAGCAGGGGGGAAGAUUGAUCCAGGGGUGCAAGCCGGAUGCAGCGGCGCCGCGGGGGGGAAGACGGCCUUCGUGUGGAAGACGACUUUCGCUAGGGACCAAGCGUUAUGUGACGGUACCUGGAGAAGAAGCACCGGCUAACUACGUG